rnacentral:rRNA from 1 species
GACGAACGCUGGCGGCGUGCUUAACACAUGCAAGUCGAACGGAAAGGCCCUGCUUUUGUGGGGUGCUCGAGUGGCGAACGGGUGAGUAACACGUGAGUAACCUGUCCUUGACUUUGGGGUAACUUCAGGAAACUGGGGCUAAUACCGGAUAGGAGCUCCUGCUGCAUGGUGGGGGUUGGAAAGUUUCGGCGGUUGGGGAUGGACUCGCGGCUUAUCAGCUUGUUGGUGGGGUAGUGGCUUACCAAGGCUUUGACGGGUAGCCGGCCUGAGAGGGUGACCGGCCACAUUGGGACUGAGAUACGGCCCAGACUCCUACGGGAGGCAGCAGUGGGGAAUAUUGCACAAUGGGCGGAAGCCUGAUGCAGCAACGCCGCGUGCGGGAUGACGGCCUUCGGGUUGUAAACCGCUUUCGCCUGUGACGAAGCGUGAGUGACGGUAAUGGGUAAAGAAGCACCGGCUAACUACGUG